AAAUUGAAGAGUUUGAUCAUGGCUCAGAUUGAACGCUGGCGGCAGGCCUAACACAUGCAAGUCGAACGGUAACAGGGAUCAGCUUGCUGAUUCGCUGACGAGUGGCGGACGGGUGAGUAAUGUCUGGGAAACUGCCUGAUGGAGGGGGAUAACUACUGGAAACGGUAGCUAAUACCGCAUAACGUCGCAAGACCAAAGAGGGGGACCUUCGGGCCUCUUGCCAUCGGAUGUGCCCAGAUGGGAUUAGCUAGUAGGUGG
rnacentral:rRNA from 1 species